UGUAAGACAGGCGCAGAGGAAGCAGUUCCCUGAGAUGGCCGUGACGGCAGCUUAGCUCUAAUGGAGCUGAAGCCCCUGUGAUUCUUGUCCUGUUUCUCAGACACGUACAAUCUAUAUGUUCAGUUAAAUGCAACAGGAGGAAGUUGGGUGCACACACCUUUCAUCUCAAGCUGGGAAGCAGAAGCAGAAGGAUCCUUAUGAGGCCAGCCUGUUGUUUUAAGUCUCCAAGUUUUUGAGGGUUACGGUGUGCAGAGAUAAUUGAUGUAGACAGUAUUUGCCAAGACUGGGCAUGUUAGCAGGAUGCUUUGGAAGUCAUUAUGUGGCGUCUAAUCUAGGAACUCAGGCUUCUGCGGAGAACAAACAGCUCACCUGGAAGAGAGUCUUCUCCUGGAUGCCUUCAGAUCAAGAUGUAGAACUCUCAGCUCCUCCAGCACCAUGUCUGCUUGGACCCUGCCAUGCUUCCUGUCAUGAUGAUAAUGGACUGAUCCUCUGAAACUGUAAGCC
rnacentral:lncRNA from 1 species